UCUAUCUAUCUAUCUAUCUAUCAUCUUUUAGUAUUUAAUCUCUCAACUAUCAUGUUUGAGUGAACCAUUUCUACAUUUCCUAUAUUAUGACACUUCAUGCCAAAAAUGCUGUAUCUUCCAUGUGGUAAAAAUUACAUAGAAUAGAAUGAACCUGUAAAUGUGUAGUGUAAGGAAAUUUAACAAAUGUAUGUAGCCAUUACCAUAGAUAAGAGUAAAACCUUGUGUCUAUUGCUAUCAGUAAUUCUUUUCCUCACUUCUCAUCCCUUGUUCAAUUCAUCACUAUGUUUGAAGAGUAAUUUAAAAAUUGUGUUGUUUUAUAUUUCAUCAGCUUUUACAACUUUCUUGAACCUCUUUCCAUCAAGCUUUCUUUCUUA
rnacentral:lncRNA from 1 species